rnacentral:rRNA from 1 species
CUUGACCGUGGAAGGUAGCAUAAUCAUUUGUCUUUUAAUUAAAGGCUUGUAUGAAUGGUUGGAUGAGAUAUAAUCUAUUUUUAUUUAAUUAAAAAUGAAUUUUAAUUUUUAGUAAAAAUGCUAAAAUAAAAAAUAUAGACGAGAAGACCCUAUAAAUCUUUAUUAUUUUUUUAUUAAUUUAUUAAUAGAAUAUAAAAUUUAUUAAUAAAAAAAUAAUUUUAUUGGGGUGAUAAUGAAAUUUAAUAAACUUUUGUUUUAUUUUAUAAAUAUAAUUAAUUUAAUGAUCCAUUUUUAAUGAUUAUAAAAUUAAGUUACUUUAGGGAUAACAGCGUAAUUAUUUUAAAGAGUUCAUAUCGAUAAAAUAGUUUGCGACCUCGAUGUUGAAUUAAGAGUAAGCUUAGGUGUAG